CCUUGCACAUUGCACGGGAACCAGCGCAAAGGACAUAUUUAAACGCGACGCACAGUAUUAUACUGACAUACUUGAUCUGAAACACUUGACAUCAACGGCUGCAGGAUGAAGAUCGUGAUUCUCCUUGUAUUCGCUGUUUUCUUUGUUGCUACUGAUGCUGCCUCGGUGGCCUGUGGUACAGGAUGUGCUUCCGCAGGCUCCGACGGUCACUCCUUCUGCAUCAACCUUUGCACCAACUGUACCGGCAACGUCAACUGCAACCACCAUCUGGAUGAGUGUGAAUGUCACCCUCGAGGUGAUGACUAAGCUACAUUUGCUGCUUGAAUGCUUCUGACAUCAGUUCACUGGCAAUUAUUGUUGACAUUAAACUGUUUCUUUAAA